UUUCUCUCUUCUCUUAAUCUGAUUUGUUUGCUAUUUCUUAUAUAUCCAUAGGUAAAGACCAUCUUUAUUUAUAGAUGAUUCUCAUGACCCAUUAAGUAUAGGACUCCUAAUUCAAAUAUGCUUUGAAUCAAUCCAAUACUCAUGAAAGGACUCCUACAUGAGAUAGAAUUGCCAUCACAUAUGGUGCCCACAAAGCACUCAUUCCCACACCUGCAUGGGACACCCAUAACCAACACCAUGCCAGGUGCUAGUUGGCCAAAGAAGUGAGGGAAUCCCAAUUCAAGUAGGACUCCAAAUAUCUCAUCCAAAAAGGAUCUAAUUUGAAUACAAUUCAAAACUGGUUCGAAAUAAUUUCGAAAGGCUGUCAAUCCUAAACUCUUUAGAACUUUAGAACCAAGUCUAACUUAAAAUUUUAAAUCCAAUUAAGUCUAAUUAAUUCAAAUCUAAUCUAAAAUUAAUUAACACUUAAAUUCAAUCUCUCAUAGACUCCAUAGAUCAUAGAUCAAAAACUAUUCAUUUCUANNNN
rnacentral:lncRNA from 1 species